GCUGCCCGCAUGCAAGCCAAGUUACAAUCAAAGAAAGGAAAGGCAAAGGGAAAAUCCAAAUAAGGUUAUAUCACAGUUAUGUUUAUGGUAAUAUUAGAUCUUAUAAAGGAGUAAGACACAUGAAACUCACGUGCUAUCAUGUGAAAUUAACAUGUAUAUUGUGGUGAUUGCACCAAUUUUAGAUUGAAGGGAUAAGAAAAACCCAAACAUUUGUGCCAUACAAUUAGUGCCAACUUACCCCAAGUUGUGUGGGGCAUUUUAGGACUCAUGGCAUGAUAAUGGCAAUUUCGUGGGCGUCUCAUUCUCAGAUUGUUCUCAAUUUUACAAGAUUGUUGCUGGCCUUCCAUUGCUGGCAGCAGCCUUCUCCAGCUGCUCUUACUUCAUUUUCAAUAUUAGAUAUUAGUGCUUUCCUUUCAAAUUUGGGGGCUCUUACCUCUGAAGACAAGUUCUAGGUCUCUUGAGUUUUUAUUGGGCUUUUUGAUCUCUUUUGAUGCGUGUCCUCCCUUCAACAUUCUCUGCUCUCUUAAUGGAGUUUAUCUGUUCUCGUUGGAUUAAUGAUUCUUACAUUAGCGAUAAGUGAUCAACUUUCUUCACUGUCUUGGCUAUGAUGAAUAUGUGAGGGAGAUAUGGUAUUCACAAUUGAAAUUUUCGUGUUUUUUAUGCUUGAGGUUUCUUAUAAUAUUUUCUCAUAUGAACGAGAUAUACCCACACGUUAAAACACAUUUCAAUUAGUAUAAUUUUCUUGGUAAGCUUGUAGACUGCAACUGACUUGUAUUGAUGUCGUG
rnacentral:misc_RNA from 1 species